rnacentral:rRNA from 1 species
GACGAACGCUGGCGGCGUGCUUAACACAUGCAAGUCGAACGGAAAGGCCCUGCUUUUGUGGGGUGCUCGAGUGGCGAACGGGUGAGUAACACGUGAGUAACCUGCCCUUGACUUUGGGAUAACUUCAGGAAACUGGGGCUAAUACCGGAUAGGAGCUCCUGCUGCAUGGUGGGGGUGGGAAAGUUUCGGCGGUUGGGGAUGGACUUGCGGCUUAUCAGCUUGUUGGUGGGGUAGUGGCUUACCGAGGCUUUGACGGGUAGCCGGCCUGAGAGGGUGACCGGCCACAUUGGGACUGAGAUACGGCCCAGACUCCUACGGGAGGCAGCAGUGGGGAAUAUUGCACAAUGGGCGGAAGCCUGAUGCAGCAACGCCGCGUGCGGGAUGACGGCCUUCGGGUUGUAAACCGCUUUCGCCUGUGACGAAGCGUGAGUGACGGUAAUGGGUAAAGAAGCACCGGCUAACUACGUG